rnacentral:tRNA from 1 species
AUUUUAAUAGUUUAUUAAAAAUGUUGAUCUUGUAAUUCAAUGAAAUCUUUUUAGAUUUAAAAUA